AAGACCUUGCGCUUUUGGGGCGGCCGAUGCCUGAUUAGCUUGUUGGUAAGGUAAAAGCUUACCAAGGCUUCGAUCAGUAGCUGGUCUGAGAGGACGACCAGCCACACUGGGACUGAGACACGGCCCAGACUCCUACGGGAGGCAGCAGUGGGGAAUUUUGGACAAUGGGGGCAACCCUGAUCCAGCCAUGCCGCGUGAGUGAAGAAGGCCUUCGGGUUGUAAAGCUCUUUCAGCCGGAACGAAACGGUUACGGUUAAUACCCGUGACUACUGACGGUACCGGAAGAAGAAGCACCGGCUAACUACGUGCCAGCAGCCGCGGUAAUACGUAGGGUGCGAGCGUUAAUCGGAAUUACUGGGCGUAAAGCGUGCGCAGGUGGUUUUGUAAGUCAGAUGUGAAAGCCCCGGGCUCAACCUGGGAACU
rnacentral:rRNA from 1 species